rnacentral:rRNA from 1 species
UACAGGGGGUGCAAACGUUGCUCGGAAUCAUUGGGCGUAAAGCGCACGUAGGCGGUUCGUUAUGUCGGGAUGUGAAAGCCCUUGGCUUAACCGAGGAAGUGCAUCCGAAACUGGCGAGCUAGAGUACGAAAGAGGAUCGGCGGAAUUCCCGGUGUAGAGGUGAAAAUUCGUAGAUAUCGGGAGGAACACCGGUGGCGAAGGGCGGCGAAUCUGGGUCGAUACUGACGCUGAGGUGGCGAAAAGCGGUGGGGAGCAAACAGG